UUUUAAUGAGUAUUCAUGAUUUUUUAGGGAUAUAUUACAGCAUUAACAUUAUUCUCAAGUCCACGCAUGAUUUACAUGAUAUUACUUAAGAUUCAGGCUUAUGAUCAAGGUAUGUAUGAUGUAUCAGUUUUCAAGACUAUUAAGCAUUAUUUAUUAUAAUUUGAUGGAUUUCAGUCUAUAUUAGUUUAACCUAAUAUGUUUUCUAAUGAAAUUCAUUAUCUUUACAGACAUGUCAUUUUAUGGCCCC
rnacentral:lncRNA from 1 species